AGUCUGCGAGAAUACUGUCUCCCUAGUAAAACAAAAAAAAAGUGUAGCAAUCAGUAAAACUGACACAGCACAUGUCCUCAAUGAAACUGAAACAUAUCUAAACCUGAUCACACUUGGUACUCAUUUCAAAGACACUGCAUAUGAUUGCUAGUGAAUAUAUAGUUAGUUAAGAAACUAUAGCUACCAUAAA